rnacentral:tRNA from 1 species
GGGCCCGUAGCUCAGUGGUAGAGCAGUUGCCUUUUAAGCAAUUGGUCGGCCGUUCGAUCCGGCCCGGGCUCACC